rfam:Triticum urartu cultivar G1812 contig598937, whole genome shotgun sequence.
GAAAUACUCCCUCCGUCCCAAAAUUCUUGUCUUAGAUUUGUCUAAAUACGGAUGUAUCAAGUCAUGUUUUGGUAUUAGAUACAUCUGUAUCUAGACUAAUCUAAGACAAGAAUUUUGGGACGGAGGGAGUAUAAG